rnacentral:rRNA from 1 species
AGCAUAAUCAUUUGUCUUUUAAUUGAGGUCUAGUAUGAAGGGUUGGAUGAAAAAUUUACUUUCUUUAUUUUAUAUUAAAAAAAUUAAUUUCUAAUUAAAAAAGAUUAGAUAAAUUUAUAGGACGAGAAGACCCUAUAGAACUUUAUUAAUAAAAUAUUAUUUUUAAUUGUUAAUAAUUGAAAUGAAUGUUAAAUAUUAAUUGUGUUGGGGUGACAAAAAAAAUUUAAUAACUUUUUUUAUUACACCAUUUGUUUAUGGAUUUAUGAUCCUUUAUUAAGGAAUAAAGAUUAAGUUACCUUAGGGAUAACAGCGUUAUUAUUUUAGAGAGCUCUAAUCGAUAAAAUAGUUUGCGACCUCGAUGUUGGAUUAAAAUAAGUUUCAGGAGUAUAAGAUUGAAAAUCUAGGUCUGUUCGACCUUUAAAUUUUUACAUGAUCUGA